UUGCACAGCCAUUAAUUGGCAAAAUGAUAAUCUCUCUACCAAACUGCAUUGUAAUCCUUCAGAUACUAUGACUGAUGGCCCUCCAGUCCAAAAAAGGCAUUCUGAUCUAUCAGGAAGAAUGUCUGCUCCAGAUCUUGGUCCUUCUGUAACAACACUGAUCAACUGUGGGCCAAGAACAUCUUCUCCUUCAACUGCAGUUCUUGAUGGAAUAGUUAACAUUGGUUGUAAACCAUCUUUCCCGGGGGGGCCCAUGAUGACAUCCCCAGCAGUUGGGCCUUUGCCAC
rnacentral:lncRNA from 1 species